UACGUAGGGCGCAAGCGUUGUCCGGAUUUAUUGGGCGUAAAGAGCUCGUAGGCGGUUUGUCGCGUCUUCCGUGAAAACUGGGGGCUUAACUUCCAGCUUGCGGUGGAUACGGGCUGACUGGAGUGCGGCAGGGGAGACUGGAAUUCCUGGUGUAGCGGUGAAAUGCGCAGAUAUCAGGAAGAACACCCGUGGCGAAGGCGGCUCGCUGGGACGGUACUGACGCUGAGACGCGAAAGCGUGGGGAGCAAACAGG
rnacentral:rRNA from 1 species